GAUGAACGCUAGCUACAGGCUUAACACAUGCAAGUCGAGGGGCAGCAUUUUAGUUUGCUUGCAAACUAAAGAUGGCGACCGGCGCACGGGUGAGUAACACGUAUCCAACCUGCCGAUAACUCGGGGAUAGCCUUUCGAAAGAAAGAUUAAUAUCCGAUAGUAUAUUAAAACCGCAUGGUUUUACUAUUAAAGAAUUUCGGUUAUCGAUGGGGAUGCGUUCCAUUAGUUUGUUGGCGGGGUAACGGCCCACCAAGACUACGAUGGAUAGGGGUUCUGAGAGGAAGGUCCCCCACAUUGGAACUGAGACACGGUCCAA
rnacentral:rRNA from 1 species